UUUCCUUCGUACGUAAAUUCGAAAAGGUACAUCGCGCGCCAUCUAUCGUCGAAUCUCGAGGCGCGAAGUCAGGUGAAGUCCCUAAUGACGGCCGAUUCACGGCACGGUUAAAUCGUUUAACGCGGCUUUACAUCAUAAUGGUGGGAUAUAACUGGCGGCACAGUUGCGCGACAACCGUGGCGGGGAUUAAAACAGCGUGAUAUCCGCGGAAAUCAACAAGCUGUCGGGCACAGGUGACAAUACGAGUGGCUCGUGUUCAUUGUUAGAAACUGAACGCGAUAAAAAUCGUGGCGGCAAAAAACGCGGGCACCGGCGAGACAAUAGCACGAAAAUUCAGCCUCCCUUCCUCUCUCCCUCUCUUCUGUGUAAUAAACCCGGUUACAAUUCUGCGUGAACUUCCCGUGACUUUUUUCCACCGCCUGUGUUGACCAUCUACACCGUCGCGCGAUCAUUUUUAUGCCUGUUGAAAUCGCAUUUUUUAUCCCCGCUCGUAAAGGGAACCACGUGUAACAAUUUUGCCGGAAAUUUCAAUCGUCAACCAGUUUUUCGGAAGAAUUUCUGGUAAAUUAUUUAUCUUCUCUCUUCACGCGGAGAUUGCGGCUGCUUGUUCCAUCGUGUGAGAGAUUGCAGGAAUCGGAUCGAUUAUGACGCUUUUGGUAACAAUUUAUCUUCGCGAAAAUAAUAAGAAGUUUUGAGAAAUCAAAGGAAGAGACGAGAUCUUUCAGAUUCAGAAACGAAAAAAAAAAGAAGGAAGGAGGAGGGGGUUUAUCGUUGCUGAGAUUAAAAUAAACUUUAUUUAACGUUAUGUUGUAUCCAUUCACGGGGGAGCGGGCUUACACCGGGAACUGUCUUCGUCGUUGGAUAAAACUUGUUAGAAGGGAAUGAAAGAGCGACAAAAUAAAACCAAUUAUUUUGAAAAUGCGCCAGCCUCGUCGGGACACUGUUAUUUCGCUCGGAGCGUAUCUGCAUAAAUGCAUAAUGAUUCUAUUAUUUUAUAAUUUCCCGGUCCUCGGCCCCGGCUGCACACCGAGAAACUCAAUUUGUAGAAUUAUAUGUAAAUUGCGUAUGAAGUUAUAUUGUUCGCGCAUUCGCAAGUCGAAGCAUGAUUACUUUUAACUUUGGCGUUCCUUCCUGCACGAUGGAGAACGUUAAGUACAAAGUGUUAUAUACGUGAAAACGUCACUCGCUGCGAGGAAAGUGGAAUUUUUCACGUUAUGAUCUAAAUGAUCUAUUUAAAAUUGGUGAAAUUGAUCGAUGGUUCAAUGAAAGAAUAAAUAAGGGAUAUGGAUA